rnacentral:misc_RNA from 1 species
GUAGGCGCUUAAUCCCGGAACGAAUGCUAUUGUUUGCUGGAAGAGUCCAAGAUUUGUAGGUGUGGUACGUGAAAGUAGGGAUGAGCUAAGAGGAGAAAGGAAAAGGGAUUUUGAGUAUAGGGAAUUUCAGUCGUUCCGGAAUUGAGCGCCUACUAUGAACCGGCUACUGCUUUGUGAGAACUAACUCCUAGCCCGGGUCUACGGACUGAAAAUAGGGCAUGGGCAGGGCCGUAGGAGGCAGUUCCCUACGUGUGGUCAACCAUGAAAUUGUAAUGUAUUUCUUCGGUAGAAUUACAGUGUCCGCAAAAGAAAUUUAAGAAACAGCUCAAUGAUUAUAAAUAGUACCAUUAACUGCUAUUAUUAAAACCAAAAGCAAUAUUAAUGUAUCUUUAAUUAAUCUUUUGAAAUUAUAUCUCUGUAUAUUAAAUAAAUGAUCUGAUUUUUGGGGAUGGUCUGCCCUCCUAGAAAGUU